rnacentral:snoRNA from 1 species
AGAAUCGUACUUCACAGGAUCAUUUCUGUAGUAUGUUUUCUCACACUUGACAUUUAACAGUCGAGUUGGUUGCAACCACGAUGAUGAGUUAUAGCAACUUCCUCUGAGCGUGAGGCAGAUUCGAAGACGCCGCAAGGUGUUUGAGAAUCAUCGAUGAUCGUUCGGAUUCAGGCAACUGAAUUUGAGGAGGGAGUUGCGUUCCGAGUGGU